GCAGGGCUUCAUAUAUAUGAGGUUGUUGGAAACAAGACACAUCCUGCUGGGCCGCCUGGUGCAGUGGUGAAGCAUCACAGGACUUCUGCCCAAAUACCCCGAAGCCCAUGAGAUGAAGAGGAUAUCUCAGAUGUGGCGUGAGGUGGACCAGAAACACAGGAGAACAUGUCUGGA